AAUCUUUUCUUUCUCUUCAGCAGGUUGGUAAUGUAGAAAGGAUACAUGUAUACUAUGCCCACGGACUAGAUAGCCCAACCUUUGUUCGCCGGUGUUAUUGGCUCCUAGAUAAGACCUUUGAACACAUUGUCCUUGUUCAUUACCGUGAAACACAAGAGGUUAGGUUCAGCACAAUGCAUCUGCAGUUACUGAAAUAUUAUCUUGAGACAAACUUUUAUCAUUUGGACUACUACAUCUAUUUAAGAUUUGCUGAUUUUUCCUCCAUGGUUGCAAUAUUAGAACUUCAUCCAAAAUAAUGUUGUCAUGUGUGUCUUUAUGGUGAUUCAUGUGUUGAGAGUUCUCUUUCUUCUGCUAUCCAUAAAUUUAUGGAAUGGAAAGGCAAUGAUCAUGACACUAUUUUUUGUCAGAUAAA